CGGAGCGUGGCGCAGCCCGGUAGCGCACUAUCUUGGGGUGAUAGGGGUCGCUGGUUCAAAUCCAGUCGCUCCGACCA
rnacentral:tRNA from 3 species